AUUGUAGUUUAUUUUUAUUUUUUUUCCAUUUGCUUAGCUUUAUGUUCUCAAUUUUCUACAGUCUUCUACUUUGUAAGAGACCGAAUCCAGUCUUGUCUGUUUGCCUGUAGAGUCUGUUGGUUUUGUAUUGCAACACAGAAUGGCAAGUUGAGUUAGGACUCUGCCUGAACAGGCCUGCCCACAGACCAGCCAGUUGGUUCUAGAAUCUGAAGACGACUCAGGCAAGAGAUAGAGCUUUCCUGGUUCUCAGGAGUCAUUUAAGCCAGAUACAGAAGCAAGCAGGAGCCAGAGAAAGUCUAGAGAGCUCCUAGAUAAUCAAAAAGGCUAAAAAAAAGUUGUAUCCUGAGUUGGGUGCAGAUAGAACUGAAGUAGUUAGAUAGACCUCUGAAAUCAAAGGGUCUCUGAAUGGAAUGCUAUGUCAUGCCAUUGUUGACAUAGCGUUCCGUCUCCACACUGAUGUUUACAUGUGUAAGCCAUACAUUCUACUGCAUUCAAAGCAUUGACCUGAGAUUAUAUCAAUGACGUAGUAAGAAGGGGCACAGGGGAUAAAGGGGAAAGACUUUUCUGAUGUUAUAGCCCAACAAAAGAACUGCAAAUAAUACAAUCCUCAUGCAGCGCCUCAAGAAGCAUCAAUCAUAUUUCCUUUAAAUGUGAAUGUUAACAAAGGAUUGGUGUCUACCUGUUUCACUGAAGGCAGAAUAUUUGUGAAGCCCCGGGAGAAGCUGUGCAAAACCAGGAAAUGGUUGAAAAUGAACUUAAUAAUGAACAUUUUCCAAGCAACGCUCUACUCCAGAACUCAUGGGAGUUAUAAAACAACCCAAAACUAAGAAGAUGAAAUGGCUCACUCUUUAAAUUCUUUAUAUCUCAAAGUCUUUGAUUUAAAUCAUUAUUUUUUUAAAGAAAUCAAAUCACACAGUGCUCUUAAUAAAGC
rnacentral:lncRNA from 1 species